GAAGUUCUUCUCCAGUGGCCCCUGAUCCAGGGAGACCCACCCUGCAACAGCCCUUGUCUCCCUCCGCCCUUGGUUCCUUCUCACCCAUCUCGCCACCAUCUGCCCAGGGGAGCCAGAUGUCCCAAAUUUUGGAGAGAAAAUAAUUGAGGCUCAUUUCCAGGACAGAGGGGCGAGCUGGUUCUAAAGAGCCAAGCAGAAAGGCUUCCCAAAAUCGCUAGGUUGGGAGAGGUCAGAGAUGUGUGGCUGCCCCAGCUGUUCUGACUCUGCCCCAGCUUUUGGCUCCACCCACUUAAAGCACCUUCAGAGGUUCCCAUGGCGACAGUAAACAAGUCUCCACUGCCUUGGCCAUGUGCUGUGUUCACCCCACUCCUGAUCUUGUUGGCUGCUCAGGGGCUGACAGCCCAGGUGUGCAGCUGUGAUGAGCAGAAACAGGGAGGAAUGGAGCCCCCAGCCAUUGUCAUCACUUCCUCAAGCUGUCUAAAUUCUGCUCAGCAGUCUGUGAAAAUGUUGUGCUGAUGACAUAUGUAAGGACUCUAACUCCCCUCAAACAAUCUGCUCACCUGAAAGGCUCACUCCUGUUGUAAUAAAUGACACAUAAGGUCACAAUUCAACCGGUACCCACCUUGGAUACCACUUCUUAUGUAAACAUCAAACAUACACCCUCUUCCCACACACUAAUGUAUCUUGUAUAUUUGAAAUAAAAGUUAGAGAUAUACAUACAGAGAUUUAAAAUCUAAAACUGUCCCCUCCCCAGUAAGUCAUGUAUCUGUUAAAAGAGUAUCUGGAAACCUCCAAAAGGAAGCCAAGCAUAGACUACUUGGAAGAACUUGAAGGAGCGAGAGCUGACCCCAUCUUUGUACACUGGCAGCACAAGGACAACAAUCAACACGGAAGACUUCUGUGACCAAAUGUGUGCAUGUUUCUCUCCAUACACCAACCAAGCAAUCUAUUCUGCAGCAGACACCAACUGGAAGUCCUCCAAUUCAAUUCAAUUCUGACACUGUCUACCUGGAAAUGGCCUCAGCAACCACAGGUUGAGAGCUCAGUCCCACAAGAACACCCCCUCCUUCCAACCAGUUGAAACUCCACACCUCCAGAACUUCUCACUGACUGGCUUCGAGUUGGGGUUUCCACAGUCCUCUGUUUGAGUUUGAUUAAUUUGCUAGAGCAGUUCACAGAACACAAGGAAACACUUACUUAUGUUGAUCAAUUUAUCACAAAGGAUGUUUUAAAGCAUCCAAAUGGGGGCCAGGCACAGUGGCUCAUGCCUGUAAUCCCAGCACUUUGGGAGGCCGAGGCAGGCGGAUCAUGAGGUCAGGAGAUCAAGACCAUCCUGGCUAACACGGUGAAACCCCGUCUCUACUAAAAAAAAAAAAAAAAGAAAAAAAUUAGCCGGGUGUGGUGGUGGGCACCUGUAGUCCCAGCUACUCACGAGGCUGAGG